rnacentral:rRNA from 1 species
GAUGAACGCUGGCGGCGUGCCUAAUACAUGCCAGUCGAGCGAACAGAUAAGGAGCUUGCUCCUUUGACGUUAGCGGCGGACGGGUGAGUAACACGUGGGUAACCUACCUAUAAGACUGGAAUAACUCCGGGAAACCGGGGCUAAUGCCGGAUAACAUUUAGAACCGCAUGGUUCUAAAGUGAAAGAUGGUUUUGCUAUCACUUAUAGAUGGACCCGCGCCGUAUUAGCUAGUUGGUAAGGUAACGGCUUACCAAGGCAACGAUACGUAGCCGACCUGAGAGGGUGAUCGGCCACACUGGAACUGAGACACGGUCCAGACUCCUACGGGAGGCAGCAGUAGGGAAUCUUCCGCAAUGGGCGAAAGCCUGACGGAGCAACGCCGCGUGAGUGAUGGAGGUCUUCGGAUCGUAAAACUCUGUUAUUAGGGAAGAACAAAUGUGUAAGUAACUGUGCACGUCUUGACGGUACCUAAUCAGAAAGCCACGGCUAACUACGUG